rnacentral:lncRNA from 1 species
GUAGAACCUAACCCUAUACUUCACUGUAAAUAUGGGUUCAUUUUACGCGAUUCGAUUUGCGCCGGCUUUUGUAGGAACGGAACUGCCGCGUAAACCGAGGGCUACCUGUAUUGGAUGAUGAAAGAUACUAUCCCUAGAGAUGCAACCGAUAUUUCGAUUUUUUUGUCCUUAAUACAUUUUGUCCAUAUACAUUUAUUUUUUGUCCUGUAUAUAGAUUUUUCUUCUAUUGAUAUUAUCAAGUAUCGACCGAAAGCAGACCAAUUUAAUACAUUGGCAAAGAAUUAUUUUUCGAUCACAUACAUGUAUAUAUAUAAAAGAUAUUAAAGAGAAAAUAACAAUCUUCUAAUUUAAGUAUUAAC